rnacentral:tRNA from 1 species
GUCGGGAUGGCCGAGUGGUCUAAGGCGUCGGACUCAAGUUUUGAUCCUCUUACGAGGGCGUGGGUUCAAAUCCCACUUCGACA